AUCACAAAUUUUGCAGAAUUUGCAGCCAGUAUUAAUGAAGAAGCUCUAGAAAAGAUGAACUAUCUCCAUGCAGCAAUUACUGAAACUCUUAGACUGUAUCCAUCUGUGCCUGUGGUAAGAAGAAAUUAUGUGCACUUGCAAUUCCUGGCUGCAAGAAACAACACAAAUAAAUUUGUGAUUAUUUACUAAUUCUUCAAGACUGAAACUACGAUUCUUGAGCAAUAAAUGCCUUUAAUUCUCUCAGUAUACUUGAUGUUUCAACAUGCUUGUAUAGAGUUAAUAAUGCUUCCUAAAUAAUUGUAUAAUUUUUUUGUUUCUGUAUCUCAAAAUUCUUUGCUUUGCAGGAUGCGAAGGUUUGCUUUUCUGAUGACACUCUACCAGAUGGCUUUAAUGUGAGAAAGGGAGAUAUGGUGGCUUACCAACCCUAUGCAAUGGGGAGGAUGAAGUUCAUAUGGGGCGAUGAUGCUGAGGAAUACAAACCUGAAAGAUGGCUCAAUGAGGAUGGCGUGUUUCAGCAAGAAAGCCCUUUCAAGUUUACAGCUUUCCAGGUUAGUGGAAAUAAAGAUCUGUCUAAUUCACUUGAUUAACAUUCAAAUAAAUUUUCUGCUGCCUUUGCUGUGCAAAU
rnacentral:lncRNA from 1 species